UAUUCUGCCCCACGGGGAAGGAUGAGAAGCUUCGACUAAGGUUCGACUCGAGCGAAGCGAGAGAACGUUGCCGCAGGCAAUGGCCCGAAGGCGAGGCGCUUUAGCGCCGAGUAAUCCUUCCCCCACCACGG
rnacentral:sRNA from 4 species